ensembl:lncRNA
GUCCGUUACGUUGGUGACGUCACCACGAGCGCGAGAAGUCGAAGGUAGGAGCAGAAAGCGGUGUUAGUGUUAGUUCUGGCCCGUUUGGACCCAAACUAAAGUGUAUCAGUAUGAAGCAGGCGGUGACGGCGCACUGAUUCACUCUCGGAGCUCGGUUCACUAAUGACCGAAUCACCGAGGAACCGACCAAAGAUAACUCACACCCGCACGGAGAAGAAGAACAAGAGGAGGAGAAGAUGAGCUGGAGUGGGGCAAAGAGAACUGCAUUCAGAUCAAACGGAUACAAGAGAGGUGGCCGAGUUGUUUGAGGAUCUAAAGAAUUGAGUGUCACAAUUCAACAUGCACAUCAGCGAAACUUUUCCCUCUGACUACACCAGCACGCACGCACAGAAAUUCAUAGUGCAGGUGGCGAUUGCAGGCACAUUUUAUCCGAACUGCUUCCUCCAGGGAACUCUAUGGAAACGACCCCAGGACCACCAUAGUGGUGUGUAAUCUCCCUCCAUUUGCAUUCCUCUACUAUAAACAGCUCCAGUCUCUCUUCAGACACUGUGGUUAAAUCAAAUCCAUCUCCUUUGACAGCUCCAGGGCCUAUGUAGAGUUCUACCGCUCGUCAAUGAGAGGUUCUGGCGUUCUCCCAGAGGUCUCUCUGUCUCUCCUCCUCACGCAGCAGAGACUUCCUCUCCAUCUCAACGUUUAACCCGCUGGAGAGGUGGAGACUUGGGCAGGGGGGGUGAAUGUGGAUUUUCAGAAUCAGUCAGUGAGCCCUGUCGGGGUUCUGAGCAGCUCCAUUGAGUUGGAGAAUCUUCCGUCUAACCCUGUCUUUAUCGUCAAUAUCACCGAGGUGUCUGUUCCGCCUCUUUCACUUUCAGUGCACAAAUAAAAAAGAAGCAGUGGCUCCUGUUGUGUGUGUGUGUGUGUGUGUGUGUGUGUGUGUGCACUAACAGGAGGUCCAGGUGCAGCCUUUGGAUAUUGAUGAAGAUUUACUGCCCCUGCAAGACCUUCCUCAACUGCGUAGUCUGGAG